UACGGGGGGGAGCAAGCGUUGUUCGGAUUUACUGGGCGUAAAGGGCGCGUAGGCGGUCAGCACAAGUCAGUUGUGAAAUCUCCGGGCUUAACUCGGAAAGGUCAACUGAUACUGUGCGACUAGAGUGCAGAAGGGGCAACUGGAAUUCUCGGUGUAGCGGUGAAAUGCGUAGAUAUCGGGAGGAACACCUGUGGCGAAAGCGGCUCUCUGGACCACAACUGACGCUGAGGCGCGAAAGCUAGGGGAGCAAACAGG
rnacentral:rRNA from 1 species